GCUUGCUACCUGACCUAGCGGCGGACGGGUGAGUAAUGCUUAGGAAUCUGCCUAUUAGUGGGGGACAACAUUCCGAAAGGAAUGCUAAUACCGCAUACGCCCUACGGGGGAAAGCAGGGGAUCUUCGGACCUUGCGCUAAUAGAUGAGCCUAAGUCAGAUUAGCUAGUUGGUGGGGUAAAGGCCUACCAAGGCGACGAUCUGUAGCGGGUCUGAGAGGAUGAUCCGCCACACUGGGACUGAGACACGGCCCAGACUCCUACGGGAGGCAGCAGUGGGGAAUAUUGGACAAUGGGCGAAAGCCUGAUCCAGCCAUGCCGCGUGUGUGAAGAAGGCCUUUUGGUUGUAAAGCACUUUAAGCGAGGAGGAGGCUACUUGGAUUAAUACUCUAGGAUAGUGGACGUUACUCGCAGAAUAAGCACCGGCUAACUCUGUGCCAGCAGCCGCGGUAAUACAGAGGGUGCGAGCGUUAAUCGGAUUUACUGGGCGUAAAGCGUGCGUAGGCGGCUUCUUAAGUCGGAUGUGAAAUCCCUGAGCUUAACUUAGGAAUUGCAUUCGAUACUGGGAAGCUAGAGUAUGGGAGAGGAUGGUAGAAUUCCAGGUGUAGCGGUGAAAUGCGUAGAGAUCUGGAGGAAUACCGAUGGCGAAGGCAGCCAUCUGGCCUAAUACUGACGCUGAGGUACGAAAGCAUGGGGAGCAAACAGGAUUAGAUACCCUGGUAGUCCAUGCCGUAAACGAUGUCUACUAGCCGCUGGGGCCUUUGAGGCUUUAGUGGCGCAGCUAACGCGAUAAGUAGACCGCCUGGGGAGUACGGUCGCAAGACUAAAACUCAAAUGAAUUGACGGGGGCCCGCACAAGCGGUGGAGCAUGUGGUUUAAUUCGAUGCAACGCGAAGAACCUUACCUGGUCUUGACAUAGUAAGAACUUUCCAGAGAUGGAUUGGUGCCUUCGGGAACUUACAUACAGGUGCUGCAUGGCUGUCGUCAGCUCGUGUCGUGAGAUGUUGGGUUAAGUCCCGCAACGAGCGCAACCCUUUUCCUUAUUUGCCAGCGAGUAAUGUCGGGAACUUUAAGGAUACUGCCAGUGACAAACUGGAGGAAGGCGGGGACGACGUCAAGUCAUCAUGGCCCUUACGACCAGGGCUACACACGUGCUACAAUGGUCGGUACAAAGGGUUGCUACCUAGCGAUAGGAUGCUAAUCUCAAAAAGCCGAUCGUAGUCCGGAUUGGAGUCUGCAACUCGACUCCAUGAAGUCG
rnacentral:rRNA from 1 species